AUGAUGCUAGGAGGCUUCUCGCAUUCAACUGGAGUUGGCAAACUAUGGCAGGAGCUUUUGGAUGUUCACUCAGAUGUUUGUUUCAAGUUUUCAUGGUACACCGUAGAUGAAGAAGAGACCGUGUGCAAUUAUUAUCUGAGGGAAACUUUGGUUGGCCAGAUCAUCAAAUGGUUGAUGGAAAGAAUUGUAGGGGAAUUUGUGGUGGCAAAAUUUGGAUGGACCCCACAAUCUUUCCCUAGGGCUUGUGCCCCUAGUCCGAAAGAUCGCUUCACCUGGAAGCCGGCCGCCACGCCGCCGGCGACCGUGGCUGACCGACCAACCAUUUCCCCCUUCCCGGUCCACGGGUACCAUCGGGCGGCGCGCGGGUGCCGUGCCGGACCGGUCGGGUCGCUCUCGGCUUUCGCGCGCGGUCGCCGCCGGCCGGCCGCCGCCAGCGUCCGCACGUACUACGUGCGCAUGUUCCUAGCUAGCAGUAGGAUCUGGUACACACACUCCCGCCGGUCGACGUGCUCCUUAUUUUUCUUGGAAAAAGUUUCGUCCUUACGCAUGCAGCAGCCUUCUUGGCUCGAUGCCGACACGGCCUACAUACCAAUGCAUGCGAUUAUGUUACUGUCACGUUCAGAUUUUCUUUCUCAUCUUCUGAUGACCAUUUAUUCUUUUUUAUUUAUGCACAUGUACUUAUUGCAUCCCUGGAUCAUCUGGAUGCCUGACUUUCCGAGUUCGUUCAUUCGGUUAUUUGUUCAUUUCUGA
rnacentral:rRNA from 1 species